rnacentral:rRNA from 1 species
GAUGAACGCUAGCGGCAGGCCUAACACAUGCAAGUCGAGGGGCAUCAUGGCGUAGCAAUACGCUGAUGGCGACCGGCGCACGGGUGCGUAACGCGUAUGGAACCUACCCACCGCAGGGGGAUAACCCGCCGAAAGGCGGACUAAUACCCCAUGGUUCCCCGACCCUGCCUGGGGUUGGGGGUAAAGCCUACGGGCGGCGGUGGAUGGCCCUGCGUGCCAUUAGCUGGCUGGUGGGGUAACGGCCCACCAGGGCGACGAUGGCUAGGGGGUCUGAGAGGACGAUCCCCCACACUGGUACUGAGACACGGACCAGACUCCUACGGGGAGGCAGCAGUGAGGAAUAUUGGUCAAUGGGCGGAAGCCUGAACCAGCCAUGCCGCGUGCAGGAUGACGGCCCUACGGGUUGUAAACUGCUUUUAACCGGGAAGAAACCCCUCUACGUGUAGAGGGUUGACGGUACCGGAGGAAUAAGCACCGGCUAACUUCGUG